rnacentral:lncRNA from 1 species
AUGUACGUCCAUACAUACAGACAGCAAACUCACAGUAAUUUCAACAGAUUCAUUAGAUUCUUCAAAUUGUUUUAGCACUAUGUAGUAUCAACUGUUAGUGUCUCGAGUUUGUUGUUUAGAAAACAUUGUUAGAGCUAUCAGUCUUUCUUACAGAAUGCCUACUAUGAGCCAUCCUCCCUGGGGUUAUUCCUAGAUUUACCUGAAGGCCAUGGCACCCAUACUGUGUACACAAAGGACAUGAAGGUCAUUGUCAGCACAGGACGACUCUGCACCGUCACAGUCAAUAUGUGUGCGUGUGAACCAGAAACCUGCACUCUGCUAACGUAUGGGCUCUGGCCAGCAACAGCCGACAAGCCCCAGACAGCCUUCUCCAUCCCUCUGCUAGAGCUUUUUGUUUGUCUGUCACUGGAGUGUCAGGUUUCUGUUGAGGGUUUUUGCAACACCCUGCGCUGGAAAAAUAACCUCACACCUGCAGAGGUACUGUACAGUAAGUCAGUUUGCAGAUGUCAGUUUGAAGUCUUUUCUGUGAAGUGAACAUUUCAGUUACUAUCAUGGAAUACUGACCAUAUAGAUGUGAGAAAUACACCUUCUUUCUUGAUUUUACUAUAUUAAUUAUCACAAUUAAAAGUAAACAUUUAUGGAACCAUCUAGGAUUGUACAGUUGCAUGCAAAAGUAUUCUUGAUAUUUUUCUAUAAAAUAACACCUUCUGAGUGAACCACCAUCAUCACCACAUGUUAGCAUACGAAACAGUAAUGUUUCCACUGACUGCUGUGCUUACACCGUAGGUUAAACACUCUACAGAGCGCUGGUGGGGGAAUCCAUAUCCCAUUUUAGGCAUCACCACUUCCGACAAAGAAGUUUGGUAGAUAUUUGCCCACAGUUAGAUGAUGGGACCAUAUGCCCAGCAUGUCCAAAGGUUGGUUCUAGUUCCAGCGUGGUUCUUGUUUGAUUAGCCACUGUAUUUACCAUGACCUGAUGGCAUUGAAAUGAUAUCUGCAAUAUUAGUUCAUUUUUGUAUAAAGUAUUAUAAUAAAAUAGUCAUAGUAUAAAUGUAUAAACCUGGUGCAGGUACAGAACCAGAAUUACUGUAAGUGUUUGUUUUCCAGGCAGAUGGAGAUAUGAUUGUGACAUUGGAUGCCAACUUUGGCCUUGUGAGGAAGCAAAGCUCAGGUACUCGUGCGGUUGAGCCAUCACAUGGAACCCGCAUGUUUGUUGAUGAAAAGGAUGUAGAGGAACACCUGCUAUCACGUCUUGACAGCUCAAAGCCUCACGAGGUUAGUCAUAGAUUUAGUCCAUGAAAUAUUUACUUAACUAUUCCUCCCAUAAAUCUAUGUUUUCCUUAAAUCUUUAGGACUGCAGUAACUUCAAGGCUGGCAGCGUGCUGAGGUCACAAAACAAGCAAAGAGACUUGAUGUUACAGGAGUGUUUGGAGCCUCCUGUCAUCAUGAAAUGCCCCUAAUGUUUGUCAACAUGAGCCAAGGAGAACGGCAAGUCUAUGCCACAGUGACAUCUCUGACUAAUGACCCAGAGCUCCAGAAUGAUAAUUCCCCGUUUGAUUCUGCCUAUUCAUAAAAUGCUUAGAAUAGAGUCACCAAAUAUUUUCAGUCACCAAAUAUGAACCUCAUGGAAUGUAUAUGGGAGAUUCCAAAAUAUUACAAAAUGUAAACUUUACCACCAUUCUAUAAUCUUCACUAAUAUAAGAAAACAUUAAAAAUGUUUGGAUAAUUUUGAGUGCACUUAUUGAGUAUUAUUAAGGUAUUGAAUUUGAUGCUGGAGAUUGUUUGUAUAAUUCAUUUUUACUUUUCUUCAGUAUAAAGUGUCAUCAAUCAGAUUUUUGUGUUGGAAUAGAUUAGCCUAUCCCCUGUAUGUCAUCGAUGAGGUACUUCGAAGCUGUGAGGACAAGAACAUACACCUGCGAGUAGUGUAUGAUAUUGCCUGUGUUGUUGCCUCACAUUUGCAUGUAAGUACUUUUUUUCUGUGUAAAACUGAAUUAUUGUUUUGAGAAAAGACCAUGCCACAUUAACUCAAAAUUAUGCCAUACGGUGUUCAAUCAGAAAUCAGGGGAGGGCAUACCACACAACCUCUCCUUGGCCAUGCCAGCAUUUCACGUUUGUGGACACAAUUUGCCCUGCCAGGUGAUUCAUUGACUUUAUAGAGACAUCAGGACCUGUGUCACACAUCAUUCACUCUCUGUUUGGCCUCCAUUUUCCUGUCCAUCAACUGCACAGCUGAAAUUAAGUAGAUAUGCCUAAAAGUAAUCUUUAAUCUAACAUUUCUCCCCCCUGGUGUUUGUCUUGUUUCAGAGAUGCACCGUUUAGGAUAAUACAGUAGAAACCAUUUAUCUGUCUGGGUCAACAUGAUCACUAUAAGAGGAUGAUUGUUAUAAAAAAAAAU